CGGCGGACGGGUGAGUAACGCGUGGGUACCCUGCCUCAUACAGGGGGAUAACAGUUAGAAAUGACUGCUAAUACCGCAUAAGACCACAGCACCGCAUGGUGCAGGGGUAAAAACUCCGGUGGUAUGAGAUGGACCCGCGUCUGAUUAGCUAGUUGGUAAGGUAACGGCUUACCAAGGCGACGAUCAGUAGCCGACCUGAGAGGGUGACCGGCCACAUUGGGACUGAGACACGGCCCAA
rnacentral:rRNA from 1 species